rnacentral:rRNA from 1 species
AUUGAACGCUGGCGGCAGGCCUAACACAUGCAAGUCGAGCGGAUGAAGGGAGCUUGCUCCUGGAUUCAGCGGCGGACGGGUGAGUAAUGCCUAGGAAUCUGCCUGGUAGUGGGGGAUAACGUCCGGAAACGGGCGCUAAUACCGCAUACGUCCUGAGGGAGAAAGUGGGGGAUCUUCGGACCUCAUGCUAUCAGCUGAGCCUAGGUCGGAUUAGCUAGUUGGUGGGGUAAAGGCCUACCAAGGCGACGAUCCGUAACUGGUCUGAGAGGAUGAUCAGUCACACUGGAACUGAGACACGGUCCAGACUCCUACGGGAGGCAGCAGUGGGGAAUAUUGGACAAUGGGCGAAAGCCUGAUCCAGCCAUGCCGCGUGUGUGAAGAAGGUCUUCGGAUUGUAAAGCACUUUAAGUUGGGAGGAAGGGCAGUAAGUUAAUACCUUGCUGUUUUGACGUUACCAACAGAAUAAGCACCGGCUAACUUCGUG